GAUCAGCGUCCUCAGCCUAGGGGCUGCGCAGCUCCUCCUCGGGCCACUAACGGCUUCCAACCGUCCCCCCCCAACACCCAGAUGGUGGGCACCGAAGCGGGCGCCGAGGGACGCACCGUGAAGGAUACUCAGAGCCACAUGGACACAGAGGACUUGUCUACUUUCAACAGCUUCAUCAGCAUCCGAGUGUGACUACCACUCCGCGCUGCUUCAGAAACCACCUCAUCUCACUUUUUUGGGCUCUGCUCACUCAGACAUCUUGUCCCCUUGUCAUCCUUUUAGUCCAAGUGAGGGGAGAUGGCACAGGUGCCAUCACCAGCUAGAUGGCAGGAAGGGGUCAGCAGUGAAGUCACUGCACAUCCCCUUUGGCAUGGGGCAGCUGCCUACCUUCCCCGGGGCAAACGGGCAAGGACAAGCGUGUGUAUGUGCUGACGACCAUGACUCCCAGCAGUCUGACUAGCUGCUCAGCUGCGCCAGCUUCAUUAGGACUCAGACUGGAUCCCAACUGCUCCUGCUCCACCAGCAGCCCCUGCACCCACUCCAGCUCCCUCGGCUGCAAAGGCUGCAAGUGUAAGUCCUGCAAGAGCCGCUACUAGCUACUGCUCUUGCUGUCCAGUAGGCUGCUCUAAGUGUGCCCAGGGCUGUGUUUUCAAAGGCGCACCUACUACUGCACCUGCUGGGAGGACAGUGCUGCUCCGGGGUGUAAAUAGAAGCAUGGACCAACCCAGCUGUUUUUCACACGGCUUCUACCCUACCCUGUUCAGUAAGUCUCUUUUCCUAUCAUGUAUGUGAAUAAAGCCCAUUUGAGUCUUAAAACAAA